rnacentral:sRNA from 1 species
GAUGUGCUAUUAUUGGUUGUUUAAACUGAUUCUUUUGGUACCAGGACAAUUUUGGCGAGUGAAAUCUCUAGCCAGGUCGAGUUAAUUGCUGGUUGCUAUAUAUAUUAUGUUACGAUGGGAUAGGAUGAGGGAUGGUUGUUAGGUUGAGCGGGAGCUGCAAAGGCUGGUACCAUUAUUUGUAUAGGUUGUGUGAUAAAAAAGCUUGUAGACAUUUUGCAUGUACACUUUGCCGUAGUGGUUGGCGUUGGCAGCCAUAAACAGGAACACCAUUGUCUGUAUGUUACUUGUUUACGGUCUCAUGUCCAGCUGUUUGAAUUUUGU